AAGUCGUAACAAGGUUUCCGUAGGUGAACCUGCGGAAGGAUCAUUACUGAAUAACGAGGUUUGCUGUUCUGGCUCUUGGGAGCAUGUGAACGCAGCUUCAAAUUCAUCUUUACACCCCCUGUGCACCUUUGUGGACUAUAACAGCUCUCAACGGUCGACCUCGGUUGACUUGUUGGAUUGAGGGAUUUGCGCUUCAGCUAUCCUUCAACGUUGUAGUCUACGUUUUAUCUCCAUAUACAAGUCCUAGAAUGAUACUUUGUGGGUCGCGAGACCUAUAAAACUUAUACAACUUUCAACAACGGAUCUCUUGGCUCUC
rnacentral:misc_RNA from 1 species